UACGUAGGGUCCGAGCGUUGUCCGGAAUUAUUGGGCGUAAAGAGCUCGUAGGCGGCAUGUCGCGUCUGCUGUGAAAGACCGGGGCUCAACUUCGGUUUUGCAGUGGAUACGGGCAUGCUAGAGGUAGGUAGGGGAGACUGGAAUUCCUGGUGUAGCGGUGAAAUGCGCAGAUAUCAGGAGGAACACCGGUGGCGAAGGCGGGUCUCUGGGCCUUACCUGACGCUGAGGAGCGAAAGCAUGGGUAGCCAACAGGAUUAGAUACCCCGGUA
rnacentral:rRNA from 1 species